GGGCCCAUAGCUCAAGGGUCAGAGCAGCCCGCUCAUAACGGGUUGGUUGCAGGUUCGAAUCCUGUUGGGCCCA
rnacentral:tRNA from 1 species